AGUACUAACUUAACUAUACUUCCUUAACG
rnacentral:tRNA from 6 species